rnacentral:rRNA from 1 species
UACGUAGGGUGCAAGCGUUAAUCGGAAUUACUGGGCGUAAAGCGUGCGCAGGCGGUUUUGUAAGUCUGAUGUGAAAUCCCCGGGCUCAACCUGGGAAUUGCAUUGGAGACUGCAAGGCUAGAAUCUGGCAGAGGGGGGUAGAAUUCCGCGUGUAGCAGUGAAAUGCGUAGAUAUGUGGAAGAACACCGAUGGCGAAGGCAGC